rnacentral:lncRNA from 1 species
UGGUCAUCUUAGGUCUUCAAGGGUUCUUUUAUCCCUUGCUUCUUAUUCAUCGAGGUCUUCUUCAUCGGUUACUCUUGUUCGCCUUUGAGGAUCUCGUGGCUAUUCUUGUUCGAAGAUGAGGUGCUUUCAGCUUCUUCUUGUGGCUAUAUUCAUUAAGAUAUGAAGCGCCCUUCUCAUGGUUAUAUUCAUCCGAAGAUGAAGCAUUCUUCUUGAGGCCAUAUUCAUCCAGAGAUGAAGUGCCUUCGAGAAAGUUGU